UACGUAGGGGGCUAGCGUUGUCCGGAAUCAUUGGGCGUAAAGAGCGUGUAGGCGGCCCGGUAAGUCCGCUGUGAAAGUCGGGGGCUCAACCCUCGAAUGCCGGUGGAUACUGUCGGGCUAGAGUGCGGAAGAGGCGAGUGGAAUUCCUGGUGUAGCGGUGAAAUGCGCAGAUAUCAGGAGGAACACCAACGGCGAAGGCAGCUCGCUGGGACGGUACUGACACUGAGAGACGAAAGCUAGGGGAGCGAAUGGG
rnacentral:rRNA from 1 species